AACCUGGCGCACGGGUGCGUAACGCGUAUGCAACCUACCUUUCACAGGGGGAUAGCCCGAAGAAAUUUUGGAUUAAUACCCCAUAAUAUUAUUGGAUGGCAUCAUUCUGAUAAUUAAAAUUACGAUGGUGAAAGAUGGGCAUGCGUCCUAUUAGCUAGUUGGAGUGGUAACGGCACCCCAAGGCUACGAUAGGUAGGGGUCCUGAGAGGGAGAUCCCCCGCACUGGUACUGAGACAGGGACCAGACUCCUACGGGAGGCAGCAGUGAGGAAUAUUGGUCAAUGGUCGGAAGACUGAACCAGACAUGCCGCGUGCAGGAAGAAUGCCUUAUGGGUUGUAAACUGCUUUUAUAUGGGAAGAAUA
rnacentral:rRNA from 1 species